rnacentral:lncRNA from 1 species
CAAGAUUGGGAUUACAGCACCAUUGCAAAGCACCAAAACAUGGUAGAAAACUCCCCGCAGCACAAACUUAUUUUAAUUAGGAUCAGAAAGCUACGAUAAGAUCAAAUGUUAUCAGGUACUCCAUAGCACAUUGAUCAAUCAAAGUUGCUUCAGUUCAGUCUAUUCAUCAGAGCUUCAUGCAUAUUAUUGUCCAGGACUACGCAAUUCCUUCCCUUGUCAAGACUUACGUACCACCGAUCCACGGAGGACCGAGCUUUGUAGACAAGCCUGCAUGUGGGGUUUUAU